ACCUAGACCCGAUUGCAGUGAACACGCAAUCCCGAUAUUUCAUCGGGAUAAGUAAAACGGAAAGCGGGAGCAACU
rnacentral:sRNA from 1 species